CUGCCGCCACAGUGGCAAUGACGGCUGUGGCACACUUCUUAAAGACUGGGCCUGCCAUCUCCUUGGUUUCUCCCUCCAAUGUCGCCUCUACAGCAGCCUCUUAGAUAGGAGCACUGGUGCUGUCCUUCCACUUUUGUUCUUAGUGUAGAUCUUUAUUCCCACUCACCCCCAUUCCUGAUGUAGAUCUUUAUUACCCCCCCUCCCUCGUUCCCAGUGUUGAUCUUCACUCGUUCCUUGUUUCCUGGUGGGGAGGCACCAUUUGGUGGUUCGCAUCAGAUGCCAAAAUGUCUUGGACUGGCCCUGCUUUCCUAUACAUUUACACCCAUGUCCAGGCAACCCUGUGCAGUGUGUGAUGUCUUUUACUUGUUUCAGUGGAGCCAAGCAGCAUCCACACACAAAAUAUGCAUUUGGCUUCUUAUUUUCCAUUUGUGGGGCUCCAAGUCCCAUGAGCCCCAGUGGGCAUUUAAGUGAAUGAGAAACCCAUUCCAAGUGGAAGUGCUCAGUGUUGGCUUUAAAACUGAGCUGUUGUAGGUGAUUUUGAAGACUUAUAUUUCCCCUUCAUCAUCUCAUCUUUCCAUCUGCCAUUGGUAGAAUCCCCUGGAUCUUAAACUGCUUAGAACUUAAGCUUCUCUGGACAAUUCACUAGGAAUCAGUUAAUCUGAUUUCUUCGCUGCUGCAUCGGGAAUUUACUCCUUCCCUGGUGCUGUUUUUCCUCUCUUCUUUAGAGCAGCCUUGUAAAUAUGUGAAACAUGUUCUGAGUUGAACCACCAUUUUCUGACUUAGAUCACCAUUUUUUCUUACCAAACUGGUCCUGUGGAUCAGCUUAUGAUGGUUAGCAGUGCAGUGUUCUUGUCAACAGGGAGACAUGUAUUUGCCUGUGCCCCUCUUAUUAUUCCACUUAUAUCCCACCUUUCCUUCAAGGAGUUCAAGGUGGUGCAUAUGACUCCCCUUCUCCUCAUUUCAUCCACAGAGCAACCCUGUGAGGUUGGUUAGACUGAGAAAUAGUGACUGCCCCAAAGUCACCCGGUAAGCUUCAAGGCUGGGUUUAGGUCUCCCUGGUCCUAGUCCAGCACUCUAUAAGCACUAUGCCAUACUGGUUCUUUGAUGAGAACAGCUGCAUUCCUUUCUUACUAGAAACUCUGGAUGGUGUAGAGCCAGAAAAACCUCAGCCUCUUCAUGCCUUCAGCUAAGGGAUGUAAACCUAUUUGGAUGGGGCAGCUGUGCUGCACAGAGGCUAGGAAAACACUUAUUCCAUUCUACAGUUAAAGGCAGCUGUCCGGCUGGAGUUUUGCAUCUGUAAUAGGAGCAGCAUAUGGUUAUAGUAAGUGUUAACUAUAAGGAAUUGCUUCAGGUUUUCCUUUCAAAUCUUUCCUCAUCACUGUUGCUCUCAUCUCUAUCUGAAUCUCCUCUGUUUUUCUUAAUACAUGAUGAUUAAAGCGGGAUGCAGUUAAAAGCCCAAAAUGGUACCCAGUGAAAUUGCCAGUUUUGCUUGUGCUGAGGAAGUUCUUAGCCUUGAUUGUUUUUAAAUCUUACUACCAAUACAGCGUGCAAAAUUGUAAUCUCUUGCUGGAAACCCAGCACAUUUCCUCCAAUUUUGAGAAACGCUGUUGUAGUCAUUGCUACAGAUUGUGGGGCGAGUGGGUGGGUGUCAGGGGACCCGUAAUGUGACUCCCAGCUUCAUUGGACUUGAGCAGUCUAAGAUAGUCUUCUUGUGGUGUCCAAUUCUAGACUGAAUGUGGGAACCAUCAGUGGGAAAUUUUACAUCUCUGGGCCAAAGCUGUAUGGAAUGUACAUUAAUACAUUUCCACUGUGUUGCUGUUAGCAGAACUCCUUUUACAGUAUUGUUAUAACAGUCACCCCUCUUGUUUGGCGAGUUCUGAUAGUACUGUUUAGUCUGAGAAGAAUCUUUUGUCCUAAGCCCAUUAGCAUCUCACAGUUAUUCAGAGCCCAUUUCUGGAUUGUUUUGUUUAUUUAAAGUUUACUUACAGUAGCACUGGAAAUGGAUCCAAAUGGAACAUAAACAACUGGUCCCAACUCAUGCCCUGCAUUUUUGUUUCCUAAUACUUAACUAUCCUGCUGCAAACUGGGGGGGGGGGGGGAUAAUCUUUGUAUUCUACUCCCUGAUGCAAAAUUGAUAAAUAUAUUUAAAAUGCUAUGACAUCUUGAAAUUCAGGGCCAUUCCCACAGUAAACUAGUAUGUUGAGAAUGUGAGCUAAGUGGGAAUACGCAGAGUUCAGCGCAUGGCGAAAACAGUUAUUUGAUUCACUACUCAGUCAUAUAAUAGUUUCAUCCACAUUCACCACAUCACUGCUCAAUCUGUUUUUGGAAGCUAUAUGAAAGAUGUGGUAACUGAGUUGAACUGCAUGCUGGAUAUGUGGUGAGGCACUCAUACAGCCAUUUUAACGUGUGCCAAGCUACAUGGAUGCAUUGAACCAGCAACAUCCACAGCAUAAUAUUCAGUGAUGUGAAUUUUAUUUAACUGGUGUAUUAUGUCAUCAAGUGCCUGCCAGAAUAAUGUUUUUCUUCUGCCUAACACAAAUUGGCACAACUGUUGUUUUGGAAAACGAGACAGUUUAUUGUUGAAAGAUCAUGCAAACUUUCAGCUCACACAAAACCCCUUAAUCAAGUAGAAUAGAAAUAUACCCGAUUCAGAACUCAUGCGAAUUGUAAGAAUAUUUACAAAGAAGAAUACCUUGACUCAGUGCUUUUUUUCUAAAAAAAAAUGUCUAGGGCUACUCUCAUUUUCCUACACAUAUUGAAAUUCUGCCUCUCAGUGAGGCCAAACUUAGAUUCACUGCCUUGAAGGUGUCCUUCUUGAUUAUUUUAAAGUUAGGCCACUUGUACCUACCAUUCUGACAGCACUGUGUAACUAUUAAAUAGAAGCAGGAGAAUAUUCUAAUUGAUUAUGCCAUGUGUAUAAUGGAGAAAAAGCUGCCUUUCCAUUUUGAUUCAUAAAGACUUAAUAAUAAAUUAUAAUAUGUAUAAUUUCUACUGAGCUGAACAAUGAAGUAUUGCAGAGUUAGCUUGAAAACUUGAACUCUGAUGAACAGGUUUAGUGAGUGGCUGCAUCCAACAUUUUUUUAUCCCAAAGCAAUUUGCCAUACCAGAAGAACCUACUCUUGCAUUGCUUUAGCUAUAAGUGGAUCUCUCCCCUGUUUCCAUGCUAGAGUUCCUUCUAGCUGUUAUUUUUUAGUUUUUGUCUCUUGCUACAUUUGGAAAUUUAAUCUCAUCAUUGAGGGUUGCUUUCUUAUGAAAGCUGUAGACACUUUCCCUCUUUAUUCUAAAAAAAAAAUCACUAGAAUCACAGUUUGGUCAUAUAACACUUUUGUUUUUCUCAGGCAUUGAAACCUUCCAAAGAAUAUGUAAUAUAAAUUUUCUUUCAGUAUUUUCCCAUUUGAUGUGACAGACAUGGGUACUUACAAUCCCUUCAUAAAAUAGUUACCCAUCUUCAAUUUCUUGCUAGGCAAGAAAGCAGAAAUAAUUGUUUCUGUUGGCCUGGCUGCUCUGGUUUUCCCAUUCAGAAGUCCUCUGUUGGGCCUCUAAGUAGUGCUGGAAUCUUUUGGUGUGUUGAGAAUAAUGUUGGCAUUCGUUCUGAGUAAGACAAAUUUGAACUGUCUAGGAUGGGAAUAGUCUCCCACGCAGAACACAGAACCAAAAUCAGAGAAAUAGUUCCACACAAAAUCAUUCUGUUUCCCAAAGGCUUCACGAUGCUGCAUUGAAGAGCUUUAUAGGUUUAAGGUUUCAUAUGAAGCAGAUCAAGCUAGGUUUUCAUAUGAGUGGUAUUUUUAAUUCACACGUCUUAAGUCUUCAAACUUCUUACUCUACAAACAGUUCUUUAUGCAAGAAAAAUGUCUUAACAACCACUUCAGUUUUUUUGUUUAGAAAAAAAAUGCAAAUAACUCCAAACCACAAUGCUAAACCAACUAGAGAAGAGAAUGCCAAAUAUGCAAAGUUAUUUCACAAUGUAGAAAGACAUUACCUUUUCCCUCUUCAGUUACUACCACAUAUGAGAUCAUAAGCAAUUACAUGCUUUCUCUUUUUUGCAGAGAUAUCUGAUUAAAUGCCUUUCAUACCUCUGUCAUCUUAGACGCUUCAUCAGAAACAGAGAACAUGGUAUCUGAAGUUUGUUGUUAGAGGAUCCAGUUUUGCAUAAUGCGUACACAUCUUACUUAGGUAAACAGCUUCACUAGCUUAUAAGCCUUUGGCAGGUUCUCGCAGGUAGUGUAUCAAAUAUGACUGGCAGCACAAUCAUAUAGAGGUUGACUCACAAUUUGGGGAGGUGGGGUUACUCCAUAGUAUUGUAUUAAUUAAUUAGCUUUUCUUACACGUAUAUCUCAUCUUUCUUCCCAUCAUGGAACCUAAGACAGUGUACAUGCCAUUCAAGCUUUAACUAGACCCAGAACUGCCUAACUUCAGAAGGGUGUUGGUCGUGUGUGCCUUCAGACUAUAUACUGGCACUGAUGUGUGUUUCAGUUUGCGACCUCACUAAUUUUCCCGUAUAGAAGAAAAUGCAAAUGCCUCUUUGGUAAGGAGGAUAGUUAUAUCUGUUCCUAAAGAUGAUGGUCUAGACUAGUGAAGUCUACUAACUGAACUCUGCUAAUCGACUUUUAGUGUUGUCAUUUUUAUUGUUGGCUUUCUUGAAGUGAUAGGAAAUGCAAAAUAUCAAUUUGUUGUGUCACAAAAAUUGAAAGCCCAACUUAAUGCUGUAUUGUUUUUAACACUUGAUUGGAAGCCGCCCAGAAUGGCUGGGGAAACUCAGCCAGAUGGGCGGGGUAUAAAUAAUAAUAAAUUAUUAUUAUUAUUAUUAUUAUUAUUAUUAUUAUUAUUAUUAUUAUUUCAGUAGGAGAAACCACAUGUUUAAAUCUCCCCCAUUUAAAUCACUUGAACUUAAGCACACUUUAUGAUGAAUGUUGUUGUUGCCAGAUUGUGCCCAAUAAUUGUACCUUCUGAACGAGUAAAAAUGUAAGUUAAAUUUAGGACUUGAAAGUAUCCUUUUGUAUCAUACUGCUAUACGGACACAACAAAGUUCAAUAUCUGCAAAGUCUGGUUUAUGGGAAGCCCUCUGUUUGUGUUCAAUGUCUAUCUGAAGCAUUUUGCAAUUGGUUUAAGCCUCCUUUGUCUCUAGACCAUGUCACUGAUCCAGGGACAAUACAAGGUUGUCCACCACCUUCUGCAACACUUUUGGUUCCUUCUGCAAAGAACUCUGGGUAAGAUAACACAUUGAGGAGCUAUGUUUUGGAUGUGUGUUUACCUCCAGUUUUGGAUGUGAUAAUUGGUACCCUCGGGGGGUUUUUUGUUGUUGUUUUAACUAUAGCUGGUCUGUGUGCAGACUGCUCUUUCUGGGUCUGGGUAAGACAUCCUUCUGCCAUCUCUACUUGACUCCUCCAAUUCUAAAGCAUCUCUGAUGGUGAUCUUUUCUUAUCGAGCUCUAGCACCGUCACCUUUCCCAAGGCUUCCUGCUCCCUCAAAUGACUUUGUCUUUUCCCCCUUGAUGCCCUUAGUUCCUCUUCCUCCUAGAAUGCCUCUGUGGUUCCAAUGUCUUGUUCUUCCUUCAAAUCCGUUCUCAAAAUCUGUAUUUCCCAUGAAGCCUUUCACAUAACCUCCUCAUUCCCAGAUCUAGUAUGACCAAGCCAAGUGUGUAUAACUGUUGAUCCCUGCCUUCCUUUCUCUUCCUUUCCUCUGUUGUGUUGAUUUUUAGAUUGUAAGCUGCUCAGGGCGGGGAUCUGUCGUCAUUUGAAAAGUGCCAUGUACAUAGAUGGCACUAGAUAAACAAAAAAAUAGAAUUUUGAAGUCGUCUUAGUUCGUCUUCCAUUUCUAACCAUUCUGACAAGAACUUAAGUGUAUUCCUUUGUGGGUCAAAAUAUUCCACAUUAUCAGUGCAGUCACUGAAAAGGCCCUAUCUCUUGUCAUCAUCUAUAUCUCCACCCCUGGCAGGAAACAAAGAAGGGCCUCUCAUAUUUCAGUGACGCAUCUCACUUGUAGUUGAACUCUUGAGGUGUUAGUGUCAAUCAUGGAUAAAAUGUUGUUAGAAUCUAUCACGAAAGCUUUUAUCAGGUCUUUUUGCAAUUUGGUAGUAAUUCGUUAGUGAAUGCAAAUGGAUUUUUUCCUCAAUGAAAGUUAGAUCAAGAAGUUCAGCUGCAUUACAUCACCUCCUUGUUUGGUAUGCAAUAAAAACAUUCCUCUGUGCUUGAAUAAAUAAACAUCAUAAGCAACUCUUCCCAAUUUGCAUGUUACAGAAACCACGGAGACUGUAGCAAGGUCAGGAAAACAUGGAUAUUUCCAACUGGCCAGUCAACAAAUAUUAUUAAGCACGCAGCUGAUCUCAUAGGGCAUGGGUUAAAAAGGAAAUUCAUCCUGAAAUUGAGGGUGGAAGCUAGUGUGUCUCCCCUAUGACCUAGUUCCAUGAGUCAAUAUGCUGACAAAGGAGCACGUAGGACUUGGGUAUGAGGAUCCCAUGAGAAUGCAAGGGCAUGAUGUUUGACCCUAGCCCCACUGCCAGCACAAUAACAAGCAUUGGUGCUAUUCUACCAGCAGCAAACCCCUGCCGUUGCCUUGGCACAACUGUACUGCCUUGGCACAACAUUUAAUGAAGCUUGGGAAAGGUUUACCCCAAUCCACUUCUGCACCACAAGCAGUCCAGGAGUCAAAAGUCACAAUAUUUCUUGUAACAAAGGCAGAACAGGGCCAAGGGCUGGGUUUCUUACAUUAGCCGUGGCGGGGCAGCUAAAACAGAGGAGUGCCUAGGAGUUGGCAAAGCCAGCUCUGCUGAGAGCACAAGUCUGAGGGAAGGGGCACAAAAAUCACCCCAGAAAUCAGUCUCCAGUUAUCUGUAAUGUCAUGAGUUUAGACAAGAGCUGGAAAUUGAGCAGUAGGAGAAAUGGCAAGACGGUAUGAAGGUAGACGGCUGGAGACUAUGGAGUGUGUGACUUAGAUGUGUGUGGUUAUGUGACAUCACUGUUGUGACAAGAUCAAAUGUGGGGAAAGUGAUUUUUUUGGGGGGGAGUGCUGGUACAGGUCCUUGCCAAGGGCACAAGUGACCCCAACAGGAGAAGUGGGAUUUGGGGGGGCACAGAUCAAAAAAGCUCCUUGCUAAGCGUGAAAGGGACCUUAAGUACACCUAGAGUGACAGACUUUGAGCGCUGGUUUGAACAUGCAUAUGUAUUACUUGGCAGCUGUAGCAUCAACUGAGGACUUGGUGUAUAUCUGAUUGUGCAUUUGCAUUAGAAAUCACAGAUGGAUUGGGGAGGAGUGGCCAGACAGAAAAGGGUUAAGCAGUCUCUUCCUUGGCAUUUCCCAUCACCAACACCAAAUUCACAGGCUCCUGGGACUGCCUUGGUAGAGGGAGAAAAGGGGGAGAGUUGCAUUCAAUUGUGUGCCAUGUCUAGGUUGGGCCUGAGUUGGUUAAUCGAACACAGCUUUGAAAGAUUUGAAGUUCAAAUCAAUGCCAUUCCGUAAAGCUUCAUUCCAUGAGAACCAGUCUUCUGGGGCCUGUUCCCGAGAUUUCAGAGGCAAGUCAGCAAUCCUUGUGUAAUGAUGCAAUCCAGACUAUUGCAUAAGGAGCAGGCACUUGGGUGAUAUGAAAUAAAUUCCUGAGCUUGCAGCAACAUCUGAGACUUGACAGUGCUGUUGAUAUAAAGAUUUUCAGUGCAUAUAAAGAUUUUAAGCAUUAAGAAACUGAAAUGCCCGAAUGUCUUGUCCCCUAAAUACAGCAGGGGUUGUGUAGUAGUUAAGAGCAUGGCAAUAACUUAGUGGUUCAAAUUUCGUCCGAAUCAGGGCUUCAACCAGAACUUGCUGGAACUUGGUUCCAGCACCUCUCAGAUGGGCACCAUUGCCAUUAUAAGAGAACUAGGGAGACAUUCAUGGUGAGUUCUGGCACCUCAUUUUCUAGAAAAAUACCACUGGUCUUAAUCAUAAAUUUACUGGGAAGUCUUAGGUUAUCUGGAGUCUCGUGGUCCUAGCCUGUCUGCACCUUAUUACCUUACCCACUCUGGUUCCUUCCAACUCUACAAUUCCAUGAUUCUAUGAUUCUGCCAUCUAGGGUGCUGAUGAUAAUACUGGCCCAACCUAGGAAGGUGGUUGCAGUGAUUAUAGAGGUAAGAUUUAUUAGCUGUUUUGAGGCACUGGGUCGGGGGGCUUAGUAUAAAGAUACUAAGGAUUAAUAUUCUUAAAGAAACAGUAGUAUGUAUAAAAUACAUAUAAGACCAAUGAGAAGGUGGUGAGUGGGGUGGAAAUGGGAACUCUCCCUGGAAGUGACACUAAUAAGACAAGCUGCCCCAUCAAUAAAUCUAGGAUGUACUGAUCUUUUACCAGAAUAGCAUUGCCAGGCAUGAUGCUGAGGAAAUGCUUGUUGCAUGGAUGUAAAUAUAGAGGGGGGGUAGGCAGAAUAGCAAUGCUUUUCUUCCUUUCAGGGAAGUUCCCAGUUGCUAAAAAGAAGCUUGGAUUAUGCUAAUUUUUUCUUUACAAUUAUGUACCAUAUGUUCCCGUUGAGUAUUUAAAAAUCUAAUUUUACUGGAAAUUUCAAGAUAAGUUAAAUUUGUAAAAAUGCUUUUUAUUUUUCAAAGAAAGAGAUAUGGGACCAUUGCAUGUAAAUAAUAGAAUAUAUUUUCCGUAUUAUUGCUCUGUAUUUUUAUAUGCUAAAUCUCUAGCUUCAGACUAUGUUUUACUAACCCUGAUGCAGUGGAAACUUUUAUUUAUUUAAAAACAAGAAUGAUGUAUUUUGACUCCACGGAGAUAUAGAUAUAGAUAUAUAUUACAAGAUAAACAUUUGCAGGUGUUUCAUUAAUGGCUGAUCUACUUUUCAUUUGUUGCAAACCUGUAUGUUGUUACACACUUUUUGAUCCUGUCCGCCAUAGCUUUAUAACCACCAAAAGAUCACCUGAUCAACAGAAUACUUUUCGAAACAUGUUAUUCUAAUUCCUGUUCUACCAGUUCAUACAUUAAAAAUCAAAUAGGAAUUUUAAA